rnacentral:rRNA from 1 species
AUUGAACGCUUGCGGCAGGCCUAACACAUGCAAGUCGAACGAGUGGCGGACGGGUGAGUAAUGUCUGGGAAACUGCCUGAUGGAGGGGGAUAACUACUGGAAACGGUAGCUAAUACCGCAUACCAUCGGAUGUGCCCCGAUGGGCUUAGCUAGUCGGUGGGGUAAAGGAUCACCUAGGCGAAGAUCCCGAGCUGGUCAGAGAGGAUGACCAGCAAAACUGGAACGGAGACACGGGCCAGACUCCUACGGGAGGCAGCAGUGGGGAAUAUUGCACAAUGGGAGCAAGCCUGAGGCAGCCAUGCCGCGUGUAUGAAGAAGGCCUUCGGGGUGUAAAGUACUUGCAGCGGGGAGGCGUUACCCGCAGAAGAAGCACCGGCUAACUCCGUGCCAGCCGCCGCGGUAAUAC